ensembl:lncRNA
CUUUAUUUGUAUACUUUAAAAAUGGGCUUUAAAACUUUUCUGGAUUAACCAAAAUUCCAGGAGAGAAGAAACGGAGAGAAGGAAGUUGAAAGUGCUAACACCUUUUUCCCGUUUUCCCCAAAUGUUAAUUCAUAGUUUUAUGUUACAGGAAUAGGUAAAUUCUCUGAGGAGUAUUAGUGACCCAGAAACUCAUAGCCAUACAAUUCCCUUUAAACAUUUUUAUUGUCCUAAUGCUUGGCGGUCACAAAGACCUGUUUGAGGCAACCAGGGAUCUGUGCGCAGGAUAAAAAUAACUAAGGACAGGCCUGCCCGCUCCCCAGACUGCGGGAGGAGUGGGGAAGUCACUGAGUCUGUUUGCGCUUCGUGGUCCUCACCUUAGAAAGGCAACAACAAUCCCCUUCUCAGGGAGUUGAUGUGAGAUCAUGCACAUAAAGUGCAUCAAACACAUAGUAAAAUACCAAGUUUUGGCUCUUCGUGUUGUUGCUGCGGCAGUGGGGGGGGGGGGGGGAGGGAAAAAGGGGAGCGCUGGCAGACGGCUCGAAGGUGCAGAUGUCAGCAGCCCUUGGUAAAGAGACAGGUUUGCUAAAGCAUGGACAUGUUCCAAAAGCACGGGAGCUAUUUUCAAACAGGCACGAGCAGCAUGGGCAACACUCCCUGUCUCUCGUCUGGGCAGGAGCCACAAGAGCCAGAGCUUGUGGAAGGGGUGGGGUGUGUGUGAGAUGCCAGUGUGCGUGGCAGGGGCUGAGGCAACAGAGGAAUAGGUGACUCUGAGUGGGAGCUGGAUUCAGAAACAAGAAAAGCACCCAGCCUGCUGCCACACGCCUGUCAUACGACUCUUUUAUUUCCCUGUGAAGGCGGAGCGUGGAUGAGAGGGUUGAAGUCGACAGCCUCCCAUCGCAGUCUGAAGACGGUCAGCGCCUGGCACUAGCACUUGCAGAGGUGUGAGCUUGGAAAGUCAUUUCACCUCCACAAUGGUUUCAUCCCCUGUGAAAAGGGGAAACUACCUACCCAACAAGUUGUUGUUGAGAUUCAGGUUAUUUAUAGCACCUGGAACAGAGAAACAACACACUUUCUGUUACACUCUGUGUUAAAGGAAAGAGGCUUUAGAAUGAUGAUGACAUACUGAAACCUAAUAGCGUUACCCAAUAUGCUUGAAUAUGCAGUGACACUCUAUUACCUCCAUGGACGUUAAUUUUCUCAACUAACAUCAAUGCUGAUGACAAUGAAUUCGCCCGCGGAUCUCGUCCCCUCACUGCACCCCAGCACACUACUGCACACUGACGUUCGAAAACGUUGUUUCCCGAGCACAUUUCGCUAACACCUGACCGCUGGCUUGCCGGACACGAGUGGACAACCGGACUGAUUGUAGAGAGCGUUUCUACACGCCGCGCCUUUUGGAGGCUCCCAGGCUCGAGCGCUGCGCAGCCAGGAGCCACGGCAACUCAGGCGCCCGUCGCGACCGGCGUCCCGCGCCCGGGAAAGGCGCGCCACGCUCCCCGGGCAUCGGCAGCUCGUCCCGCGCGUCACGUCUGCCACCCCAGCUCCCGUCCCCGCGGGCCGAGGCGUCUUCCCCC